CCAGCAGCCGCGGUAAUUCCAGCUCCAAUAGCGUAUAUUAAAGUUGUUGCAGUUAAAAAGCUCGUAGUUGGAUUUGUGGUGUGUCCAGUCGGCCUUUGCUCUUUGAGUGAUUGCGCUGUACUGGUCUGCCAUGUUUGGGUGGAAUCUGUGUGGCAUUAAGUUGUCGUGCAGGGGAUGCCCAUCGUUUACUGUGAAAAAAUUAGAGUGUUCAAAGCAGGCUUAUGCCGUUGAAUAUAUUAGCAUGGAAUAAUGAUAUAGGACCUUGGUACUAUUUUGUUGGUUUGCGCACUAAGGUAAUGAUUAAGAGGGACAGUUGGGGGUAUUUGUAUUCCAUUGUCAGAGGUGAAAUUCUUGGAUUUUUGGAAGACAAACUACUGCGAAAGCAUUUACCAAGGAUGUUUUCGUUAAUCAAGAACGAAAGU
rnacentral:rRNA from 1 species